GACAGAGGGUGCAAACGUUGUUCGGAAUUACUGGGCGUAAAGCGCGUGUAGGCGGCCACACAGGUCGGAUGUGAAAUCCCUCGGCUCAACCAAGGAAGUGCAUUCGAAACCGUAUGGCUAGAGUCUCGGAGAGGAAGGUGGAAUUGUCGGUGUAGAGGUGAAAUUCGUAGAUAUCGACAGGAACAUCGGCGGCGAAAGCGGCCUUCUGGACGAAGACUGACGCUGAGACGCGAAAGUGCGGGGAGCAAACAGG
rnacentral:rRNA from 1 species